UACGUAGGGUGCGAGCGUUAAUCGGAAUUACUGGGCGUAAAGCGUGCGCAGGCGGUUGUGUAAGACAGGUGUGAAAUCCCCGGGCUUAACCUGGGAACUGCGCUUGUGACUGCACGGCUAGAGUACGGCAGAGGGGGGUGGAAUUCCACGUGUAGCAGUGAAAUGCGUAGAUAUGUGGAGGAACACCGAUGGCGAAGGCAGCCCCCUGGGCCAGUACUGACGCUCAUGCACGAAAGCGUGGGGAGCAAACAGG
rnacentral:rRNA from 1 species